CCCUGAUAGCUGCUGGGGAUUGGAACCGCUCAUUCAGAUAAUUGGUUUUUGCGGCUGUCCGACCUGGCGGUGCUGCAGAGCUACCAUCUGCUGGAUAACGGCUGAACGCCUCCAAGUCAGAAUCCAUGCCGGAACGCGG
rnacentral:ncRNA from 2 species